ACAUGCUGUCAGAGCGGUCAUAGAGAAUCCAACGAACCAGCAACUCCACAGCUGAGACCGUCCAAGAGCCAGAGAACUAGCUCUUGCCUGCGGAUCAAGACUUACUGAUCCAGAGGCCUACGUCGAGAGCCACGGACCAUUAUCAGGUCGUAUAUACAAAUGCUUCAGUAAGAUAGAAUAGAAGACCUUGCCUAGGACACAUAGGAACCUUUUGCUGAAUGUGUGAUGUGAUUGAAGGUGUGAUGUGAUUGAUUGACUAGGAUUGUUAUAGGUUUGAUGUUUACUUAUAUUUGAUAUAAGACUUAUAUUUGAUAUAAGAAUAAUUAGGGAUUUAAAUGAUUGUUAUAGUUUGAUGUUUGCCCAUACCUGCUAACAAUUGGAGAUUUGACUAUUGGCAUAAUAAACUUGUUCCUAGAACAAACACUGUGGUCAUCCUGAGUAUUUACUUGCAGACCUCUAAGUAAGGGCAGAAUGCCCGCUCAGGAAUAAGGCUCGCGACAGAGCUCCUACAUUGGGAGAGAAGGGUAAGGCCUGCCAGAGCCACAUGCUUGAGUGGACUAGUGUCCCUUCAGGUAACACCAUCCUGUCCCAACUUUAUUUUAUGACUGCCUGGUUACUUCUUAGACUUCCACCACCACCAUCACCACCACCACCAACAACAACAGUGACCUCUACCUUGCCAAUGCUUUGGGGACUCUCCAUGACCCUAACCAUGGGCCAAACAUAUUAUCUAGUAUCUGGAAAAUGCCACUGAGCCUUGCAAAGAAAGCAGACAUUACUAGACAACUCUAAAUCCCUCACCUGUGCCAGCAUUGAUACUGGUCCCAUCUGCUCCCAGGUCUCACAGCCUCACAAGCCAAGCUUCGACCGGCUCUUUCAUUGCUUGUUUAAAAGUUACCCCGAUUCCAGAAGCCCGGGCAUUGAACAUUCCCCGAUAACACUGGUUUUUUAUGCACGACCCUUAUUGAAGCCCACAUCUGCAUGCUGGAUGGACACUUGGCUUGCUGUAUGCCUGUUCCAUUUCCUCUCUCUGAAGAACAAGAGCUGCCUCUGGGUGGAAAAGUCAGAGGAAUAGGGCCGUGUGUCUCCUUGAUCAUUAAUGGUAGCUAUCAUCAUGAUAAUCGUUAUCCCCAGCCACCCCAAGCGCUGUUCCAGCCCUCUAACUCCAUCUAACAGCCUGGAGCGGUUCUCCCAUUCCUUAGGCCGAGCAUCCUGCUGCAAUGAACCCUUCAGCUUCCACUGGAGGCAAGGCUAUGCCUCUCAGGCCAUCUACAACGAGGAGUGCCUCUACUUUCCUCCUCAUUGGCACUGGCACCUGCGAUGCCAGGCAGCACUGUGGAUGUGGAGAUGAUCCAUCUACCCAAGGGCAACAAUCAAGUGAGCCAAAUAAGUAAAUAAAUAAAAUAAGAGACACCACAAUCGCCCCACCCAGGCAGCCUUUGGAAAUCUCAAUUUCUCAGUAAGGAUGGUUUGUCCCUAGCCACACCCACAUGUUUGAGACAAAACUAACCAAGCCCCAAUUCCCACCCCAGCAGCAUCCACUCCCUACCACAAGGAGCAUGGCCUUGGGGACCAAGUCAACCAAGGCCAACAGCAAGGCACUUUCAGCCCCUUCCUCUCCCAGAACCCCAAAGGAAGUCUCCCAGCCCUCUCCACACCGUGAAAGCAUCUUGAGAUGGUACUGGAGAAAGGCACUGUCCAGGUGCCCCACAGCCAGGCUUUCCUGGGGAAACCAGAACCCAGAUGACAUGGGGCUCCCGCUCCCUGUCAGCUGAACAAAGCCCAUACAUCUGACUCUGGCCUGUCCAUGUUGCUCUUGGGCUCUGCAGUGCGGCACACACUCAGGUACCAAACAAGCAUCCCAUUAUUAAGUGCCAGCCAAUUGGCUGUUUUCAUAACAACGUGGCCUCCAUGGCAACCAAUAUGCCUCAGAGAAGCAGAGAAGAAGAUUGUAUUGCUAUCCCACGGGAGAUCACCAGCCAGCAGCACCACACAUGUGUAUGAUAUCCAGCAUCAUCCCACACCUCUGAAUUCUUUAUUGAUUUAAAAAAAAAAGAGGAAACUAGGCAUUUAGUUUAAAACACCUAAAUCAUAAAGGCCCAGUUUAUGGAGCUGGGGAAAUGGAUGAAUGCUUAAGAGAACUUGCCGCUUUUGUAGAGUCACCCAGAUUCCAUUCCCAAGCUCAUAACUAUCCAUAACUCCAGUUCCAAUAAACCCAACACUCUCUUCUGGCCCCCUACCGGCCCUGACUCCACCCAGGGGAAUGAGGUCUCCAAUGACAAAUUGUCAAGCAGGAGGACUAGGGAGGGGGACGGAAGGCAAAAGUGAUAACUGGGGUGGGGUCAGGAGAUCUCGCAUAAGCUGGUGACAUGCCAAGCAAGUUUAUUGAAAAGUACAACAUUUUUGCAGGGAGAAAAUGGACCAAGAUCACCUCAGAGCUAAAUCUCACAAUGUUGGCAAAGAGAACACAGGACACUUUAGACACAGUUGCCAUCAGGCCAAUAACCACAGGCCUGCAGGGGAGAAAGCUGGGGUUCCAGGAACAGAGGCCCCAACUCCUUUAGAGGCCCAGGCUCCAACCUCAGACUGGACCUUGCCAAGCCUGUUUCUGGACACGGACACAGAAUGAACGUUCCCUUUGGCCUUUCAGUGGGGCUCCCAACACUCCCCAACAACCACAUCUGCCUUGGCAGCACAUUUGGGAUUUUUCAUGACCUUGACUACGUUUCAAAUGUAUUUUUAAAAAAUUAGUGUUUUUACAAACUAAAAUGACUGAUAAAGGUAUAAAUCAAAAUAAGUUCUUACGCCGUGGCUGGAAUAACUACCAUGUUCUGCCAACACAAAUAUGGCUAGGCUGUUCUGACCCACCUCUAACACUGAUGUCACUGUGAUUUUUUUUUUAUCCUUAAAAACAUCGUACCCCCUGAACUUCAGUACAACAGUAUUCCUGAGGCGCUAUGCCACUCUUGGUCACCAGAUAAAAUAAAGGACUCUUUCUUAUCUUCUUAA